rnacentral:misc_RNA from 1 species
CACCACUCAAGCUUGGCUUGGUAUUGGGCGUCGCGUUUGCCGCGUGCCUUGAAGUCCCUCGGCCCCGUGGCCCGUCCCUGAGCGUUGUGGCAUUUACUGUUCGCUCUCGGUGACUGGCGGCGGCCGGCCGUUAAACUCUCAUCACAGG